rnacentral:misc_RNA from 1 species
UCGUAUAACGGAGGUGCCGGGGCUGUCGCUAAACUUUGUGCACGCCCCGGUGCUCUCUUACAAUCCAUAUCACCCCCUUUUGUGCAUCACCGCGUGGGUGCUCUCCUUUUCUGAAAGGGGGGGCAUUUGCGCUUUUAUACAGACCCACCGCAUGUGUAGAAUGUCCUCAUUUAUGCAAUCAAUA